GAAACAGGAAGAGGAACACAUCAAGUGUCUGCAGUAAACCUACUUAGUCCUGCUAUCCAGACACAAUAAUAUUGGCAAACAUGGUGUUAGGAGUCUUAACCCUUACAUAUCCACAGGCCCAACUCAGGCAAGAGAACACUAUGCAGAUGAAACACAUUCAUACAAAGUAUUCCUGAGAGCUGUGAAAGCCAUUGUCAAUAGCCCGACUAUGCA